AGAAUCAACGCUGGCGGCGUGCCUAACACAUGCAAGUCGAACGAGAAAGGGUAGCAAUACCUGAGUAAAGUGGCGCACGGGUGAGUAACACGUGACUAACCUACCUUUUAGUGGGGGGAUAACCUAGGGAAACCUGGGCUAAUACCGCAUAAUACCUUCGGGUCAAAGGAGCAAUUCGCUUAAGGAGGGGGUCGCGGCCGAUUAGUUAGUUGGCGGGGUAAUGGCCCACCAAGACUGUGAUCGGUAUCC
rnacentral:rRNA from 1 species